CCCCGGCGAUCCUAGAACAGAGAUGGGGAGAACAGAUGCAACCUUUUAAGGUGUGAGGUCACAAAUGUGAUUAGAACGCUCUCGACUGAACAUUCCAAUGCUGAUGUCACAAUCGCUACUGGCAAAUGGAAAGCAAUGCAGUUCUAGAACACAGACUUAAUUAAAGAAUUUAAAAAACAAAAACAAAAGAAGAACAUUCCACAGAGCAUCACUGUAUCGAUAAGGCCCUGUAUCGCUCACCUUGCUGUCCUUUAAGGCCAGUGUCUCCCUUUAAACCCUUCUCCCCCUUCAUCCCUGGGACCCCUGGGACUCCUGCCCGCCCGCCUGCGCCUGGAGCUCCUGGGAAUAUCACAGCUCUCUCAGACAAAUGGGCAGACACAAGAACACAGGAAUACACACACGCGCACUCAAACACACGCAUACACACAUACAAGCAAGCAUACACACAAGCACACACAAGAACAUGCCCAAAUACAAACAGACAUGCACACACACACACACACACACACACACACACACACACACUGCACAUAUACACAUACAAAUGCACAUCAACACAUACAUACACUUACACUUACAUUUGUACAUGAACAUACACACAGACACACACAUUGCACAUAUACACAUGCAAAUGCACAUCAACACAUACAGGCACUUACACACAGACACACAACAUACCAUUAUUCCCUUUGGCACCCUGUGGUCCAGGGGAGCCAGGCAUUCCUCUAGGUCCUGUAGGGGAGGAAAAGAGAAUAGUUAGGCUUAGUUCACACUAAAGUGUCUGUGUGACCACGUAACCAAACACUGAAGGAGUUGGUUAGGCAUCCCACAGAAGUUCACAAACUCCAGUGGUUACUGGAGCGUAUGGCAGGUUUUUAAGCCUCCGGUGCCAAAAAGCACACGUCCACACAGAAAGAAUAGUACAGAAAAAUGUAAUGCUUGUUAUUCCAUGGUUCCCUGGGUCACCCUUCUCCCCAGCUGGGCCCCUCUCUGCUGGGGGCCCUGCUCUUCCUUCCUGUCCCUUCACACCUGGAGCACCUGCACAGGUAAGUACAAACACACACAGACUGCCCGUGAAAAUAUUACACUCACACUACGGUACACUGCGCGUGAAUAAACACACUGAUCUCUCUCACUCUCUCACACACACACACACACAAACACAUACAGCCUGCAUAAUAACACACACUACUUCACAUACGGUACAUACACACAUUCUCACAUACAUAAAGCACACAUGUAAAUAUCACAUACAGUUCAACACAAAAGCUCUCUCUCGCUCACAUGCACACACACACACACACACCCACUACUCUAUGUCACCCAGAUCUGGCUGUUGCUGAUCCUUCCAUCUCCCGCAGGGUGGUUUUGUGUAGCUGCUCUUUAAGAUACAGGCCAGGGGGGAAGUAUCUUAAAGACACAGGUGACAAGGAACACUCACCUGGCACUCCAGGUGUCCCCUGCUCUCCUGGGUCACCCUUUGAACCUGGAACAUGCAGAGAAUGCAGAAUUCACUCCCUGUGCUUCACCAACAAGACUGUGAAUGGGCUGAAUCCCUGUUUUUCAGCCUAUACUUUUCCAAAUUAUACUACAGCCCUGCUGCUCCCGCAUGUCCUGUAAUGCCAGGAAAACCAGGAUCACCCUUUGGACCUUGGACACCUUGAAUAAACAGACACACAUUACAGUAUAUAGAGGAAACAUCAGAUGGCAAUGUCACACAUUGGGAUCCACAGCAAUUCAAAGACCCAGAAAACACGAUUAUGGUUUUGAGGUUAUGAGGUGCUGAACCAAUUUUAUUAGCAACUGGACAAUGAGAGAUUUUUAGUAAAUACAGUAGAACUGUAGUGAACUGAGUGAAUUUCAGUGUGCGUGGAAAAAUUGGAAAGAUUUGCACAGCGCUGACAAUAUUAAAAGUCAUGGUGAAAUCACA